GGUCGGUUAGCUCAGUUGGUUAGAGCGUGGUGCUAAUAGUCUUCAAACGUUAACGCCAAGGUCGCGGGUUCGACCCCCGUACUGACCA